rnacentral:rRNA from 1 species
CCUACGGGGGGCAGCAGUCGAGAAUCAUUCACAAUGGGGGAAACCCUGAUGGUGCGACGCCGCGUGGGGGAAUGAAGGUCUUCGGAUUGUAAACCCCUGUCAUGUGGGAGCAAAUUAAAAAGAUAGUACCACAAGAGGAAGAGACGGCUAACUCUGUGCCAGCAGCCGCGGUAAUACAGAGGUCUCAAGCGUUGUUCGGAAUCACUGGGCGUAAGGCGUGCGUAGGCUGUUUCGUAAGUCGUGUGUGAAAGGCGCGGGCUCAACCCGCGGACGGCACAUGAUACUGCGAGACUAGAGUAAUGGAGGGGGAACCGGAAAUCUCGGUGUAGCAGUGAAAUGCGUAGAUAUCGAGAGGAACACUCGUGGCGAAGGCGGGUUCCUGGACAUUAACUGACGCUGAGGCACGAAGGCCAGGGGAGCGAAAGGGAUUAGAUACCCGGGUAGUC